UUCCGGUUGAUCCUGCCGGAGGCCAUUGCUAUCGGAGUCCGAUUUAGCCAUGCUAGUCGCACGAGUUUAGACUCGUGGCGGAAAGCUCAGUAACACGUGGUCGAACUGCCCUGUGGACCAGGAUAACCUCGGGAAACUGAGGCUAAUCCUGGAUACAGCUCCCAGGCUUGAAUGCGGGGAGCUAGAAACGCUCUGGCGCCACAGGAUGUGACUGCGGCCGAUUAGGUAGACGGUGGGGUAACGGCCCACCGUGCCGAUAAUCGGUACGGGUCGUGAGAGCAAGAGCCCGGAGACGGUAUCUGAGACAAGAUACCGGGCCCUACGGGGCGCAGCAGGCGCGAAACCUUUACACUGCACGACAGUGCGAUAGGGGGACUCCGAGUGCGAGGGCAUAUAGUCCUCGCUUUUCUGUACCGUAAGGUGGUACAGGAACAAGUGCUGGGCAAGACCGGUGCCAGCCGCCGCGGUAAUACCGGCAGCACGAGUGAUGGCCGCUCUUAUUGGGCCUAAAGCGUCCGUAGCCGGCCAGUCAAGUCCGUUGGGAAAUCGGCGCGCCUAACGCGUCGGCGUCCAGCGGAAACUGACUGGCUUGGGGCCGGAAGACCUGAGGGGUACGUCCGGGGUAGGAGUGAAAUCCUGUAAUCCUGGACGGACCACCGGUGGCGAAAGCGCCUCAGGAAGACGGACUCGACGGUGAGGGGCGAAAGCUAGGGUCUCGAACCGGAUUAGAUACCCGGGUAGUCCUAGCUGUAAACGAUGCUCGCUAGGUGUGGCGCAGGCUACGAGCCUGCGCUGUGCCGUAGGGAAGCCGUGAAGCGAGCCGCCUGGGAAGUACGACUGCAAGGAUGAAACUUAAAGGAAUUGGCGGGGGAGCACUACAACCGGAGGAGCCUGCGGUUUAAUUGGACUCAACGCCGGA
rnacentral:rRNA from 1 species